GAUGAACGCUGGCGGCGUGCCUAAUACAUGCAAGUCGAGCGAACAGAUGAGGAGCUUGCUCCUCUGACGUUAGCGGCGGACGGGCGAGUAACACGUGGAUAACCUACCUAUAAGACUGGGAUAACUUCGGGAAACCGGAGCUAAUACCGGAUAAUAUAUUGAACCGCAUGGUUCAAUAGUGAAAGACGGUUUUGCUGUCACUUAUAGAUGGAUCCGCGCCGCAUUAGCUAGUUGGUAAGGUAACGGCUUACCAAGGCAACGAUGCGUAGCCGACCUGAGAGGGUGAUCGGCCACACUGGAACUGAGACACGGUCCAGACUCCUACGGGAGGCAGCAGUAGGGAAUCUUCCGCAAUGGGCGAAAGCCUGACGGAGCAACGCCGCGUGAGUGAUGAAGGUCUUCGGAUCGUAAAACUCUGUUAUUAGGGAAGAACAAAUGUGUCAGUAACUAUGCACGUCUUGACGGUACCUAAUCAGAAAGCCACGGCUAACUACGUG
rnacentral:rRNA from 1 species